rnacentral:rRNA from 1 species
GACGAACGCUGGCGGCGUGCUUAACACAUGCAAGUCGAACGGAAAGGCCCGGCGUUUGUGGGGUGCUCGAGUGGCGAACGGGUGAGUAACACGUGAGUAACCUGCCCUUGACUUUGGGAUAACUUCAGGAAACUGGGGCUGAUACCGGAUAGGAGCUCCUGUCGCACGGUGGGGGGGGGAAAGUCUCGGCGGUUGGGUGGGGAGUCGCUGCUUAUCAGCUUGUUGGUGGGGUAGCGGCUUACCAAGGCUUUGCAGGGUAGCUGGCCUGGGAGGGUGGCCGGCCACGUUAGACCUGGGCUGCGGCCCAGCCUCCUCCGGGAGGGAGCGGUGGAGUGUAUUGCACAAUGGGCGGAAGCCUACUCCGGCCCAGCCGCGUCCGGGAUGACGUCCUUCGCGUUGUAAUCUGCUUUCGCCUUUGACGAGGCGUUAGUGACGGUAAUGGGUAAAGAAGCCCCGGCUAACUACGUG